GACGAACGCUGGCGGCGUGCUUAACACAUGCAAGUCGAACGGAAAGGCCCUGCUUUUGUGGGGUGCCCGAGUGGCGAAAGGGUGAGUAACACGUGAGUAACCUGCCCUUGACUUUGGGAUAACUUCAGGAAACUGGGGCUAAUACCGGAUAGGAGCUCCUGCUGCAUGGUGGGGGUUGGAAAGUUUCGGCGGUUGGGGAUGGACUCGCGGCUUAUCAGCUUGUUGGUGGGGUAGUGGCUUACCAAGGCUUUGACGGGUAGACGGCCUGAGAGGGUGACCGGCCACAUUGGGACUGAGAGACGGCCCAGACUCCUACGGGAGGCAGCAGUGGGGAAUAUGGCACAAUGGGCGGAAGCCUGAUGCAGCAACGCCGCGUGCGGGAUGACGGCCUUCUGGUUGUAAACCGCUUUCGCCUGUGACGAAGCGUGAGUGACGGUAAUGGGUAAAGAAGCACCGGCUAACUACGUG
rnacentral:rRNA from 1 species